rnacentral:rRNA from 1 species
CGCGUGGGUAACCUGCCCUAUACACAUGGAUAACAUACUGGAAAGUUUACUAAUACAUGAUAAUAUAUAUUUACGGCAUCGUAGAUAUAUCAAAGUGUUAGCGGUAUAGGAUGGACCCGCGUCUGAUUAGCUAGUUGGUGAGAUAACUGCCCACCAAGGCGACGAUCAGUAGCCGACCUGAGAGGGUGAUCGGCCACAUUGGAACUGAGACACGGUCCAA